rnacentral:lncRNA from 1 species
AAAUACAGAUCGAGACUCAGCAAAUUACAAAUGAGGCUACCUCUUUUAAAAUUCAUACAAAAAAAAAAAGAAAGAAGAAGAAGAAGAAGAGGCGUAGACAAGCUCGGCGUGCGGCUGGGGGGGCUGCACUGGCGGCACGGCUGCUGCGGGGGCAGCAAGCUGCUGCGUGCUGCUGCGGGGCUCCACUGGCGGCACGGCUGCUGCGGGG